rnacentral:rRNA from 11 species
CCUGAACCAAAUACCUUUGGCCUAAAGGUACCAAUUGCUUUCUAAUCUUGGAAGCUAAGCAGGGUCGGCCCUAGUUAGUAUUUGGAUGAAAGACCACUAAUGAAUAUAAGGUGCUAUAAGC